GUCCACACAGUAAACGAUGAAUACUCGCUGUUUGCGAUAUACAGUAAGCGGCCAAGCGAAAGCAUUAAGUAUUCCACCUGGGGAGUACGCCGGCAACGGUGAAACUCAAAGGAAUUGACGGGGGCCCGCACAAGCGGAGGAACAUGUGGUUUAAUUCGAUGAUACGCGAGGAACCUUACCCGGGCUUAAAUUGCAACAGAAUAUAUUGGAAACAGUAUAGCCGUAAGGCUGUUGUGAAGGUGCUGCAUGGUUGUCGU
rnacentral:rRNA from 1 species